rnacentral:sRNA from 2 species
AUCAAACAGCAGCCGAGAUCCAUUCAAAGAAUGGAUGCGGGGGACCCAAAUUUUGGGGCGUAUUCCUUUAUGGAUAGGGAACUUCCAUUCCCGAGCCCGUCAGCUAACCUCGUAGGCAUUUGGAAGGGCAAUG